CUGGAUCCAGGCUAAAGGGAUUUCUAGCCUGUGUAUGGAAACCUGAGAAACCCAAGCUGCAAAGCAAAUGCAGCUUGUACCUUGAGAAUCUGCCAGACUGCUGGUAUCAUCAGUCAGGUGUCAAAGGAAUGUGGUCAGAGAGGAAAUAUCGUGGAGGAGUCUGAGCUGACAUGCUGUCACUAGCAAGAGUUACCUGGAAAUGAAAGAUCCCAGCAUAGUUCUUCUGGAAGCUCUGAUCUUUGGGAACAAUUCGAUUCAGGAUUUCUUGAUCCAAGGUAAG